GAUGAACGCUGGCGGCGUGCCUAAUACAUGCAAGUCGAGCGAACAGAUGAGGAGCUUGCUCCUCUGACGUUAGCGGCGGACGGGUGAGUAACACGUGGAUAACCUACCUAUAAGACUGGGAUAACUUCGGGAAACCGGAGCUAAUACCGGAUAAUAUAUUGAACCGCAUGGUUCAAUAGUGAAAGACGGUUUUGCUGUCACUUAUAGAUGGAUCCGCGCCGCAUUAGCUAGUUGGCAAGGUAACGGCUUACCAAGGCAACGAUGCGUAGCCGACCUGAGAGGGUGAUCGGCCACACUGGAACUGAGACACGGUCCAGACUCCUACGGGAGGCAGCAGUAGGGAAUCUUCCGCAAUGGGCGAAAGCCUGACGGAGCAACGCCGCGUGAGUGAUGAAGGUCUUCGGAUCGUAAAACUCUGUUAUUAGGGAAGAACAAAUAUGUAAGUAACUAUGCACGUCUUGACGGUACCUAAUCAGAAAGCCACGGCUAACUACGUG
rnacentral:rRNA from 1 species